rnacentral:rRNA from 1 species
UACGUAGGGCGCAAGCGUUAUCCGGAAUCAUUGGGCGUAAAGAGCGUGUAGGCGGCCCGAUAAGUCCGCUGUGAAAGUCCAGGGCUCAACCCUGGGAUGCCGGUGGAUACUGUCGGGCUCGAGUCCGGAAGAGGAGUGUGGAAUUCCUGGUGUAGCGGUGAAAUGCGCAGAUAUCAGGAGGAACACCAAUGGCGAAGGCAGCACUCUGGGACGUGACUGACGCUGAGACGCGAAAGCGUGGGGAGCAAACAGG